UACGAAGGGGGCUAGCGUUGCUCGGAAUCACUGGGCGUAAAGGGUGCGUAGGCGGGGCUUUAAGUCAGGGGUGAAAUCCUGGAGCUCAACUCCAGAACUGCCUUUGAUACUGAGGAUCUUGAGUUCGGGAGAGGUGAGUGGAACUGCGAGUGUAGAGGUGAAAUUCGUAGAUAUUCGGAAGAACACCAGUGGCGAAGGCGACUCACUGGACACGUAUUGACGCUGAGGUGCGAAAGCGUGGGGAGCAAACAGG
rnacentral:rRNA from 1 species